CCUACGGGCGGCAGCAGUGAGGAAUAUUGGUCAAUGGACGAGAGUCUGAACCAGCCAAGUAGCGUGAAGGAUGACGGCCCUAUGGGUUGUAAACUUCUUUUAUAUGGGAAUAAAAUGUUCCACGUGUGGGAUUUCGUAUGUACCAUAUGAAUAAGGAUCGGCUAACUCCGUGCCAGCAGCCGCGGUAAUACGGAGGAUCCGAGCGUUAUCCGGAUUUUUUGGGUUUAAAGGGAGCGUAGGUGGAUUGUUAAGUCAGUUGUGAAAGUUGGCGGCUCAACCGUAAAAUUGCAGUUGAAACUGGCAGUCUUGAGUACAGUAGAGGUGGGCGGAAUGCGUGGUGUAGCGGUGAAAUGCUUAGAUAUCACGAAGAACUCCGAUUGCGAAGGCAGCGCACUGGACUGCAACUGACACUGAGGCUCGAAAGUGUGGGUAUCAAACAGGAUUAGAUACCCUGGUAGUC
rnacentral:rRNA from 1 species